AUUGAACGCUGGCGGUAGGCCUAACACAUGCAAGUCGAGCGGAUGAAGGGAGCUUGCUCCUGGAUUCAGCGGCGGACGGGUGAGUAAUGCCUAGGAAUCUGCCUGGUAGUGGGGGAUAACGUCCGGAAACGGGCGCUAAUACCGCAUACGUCCUGAGGGAGAAAGUGGGGGAUCUUCGGACCUCACGCUAUCAGAUGAGCCUAGGUCGGAUUAGCUAGUUGGUGGGGUAAAGGCCUACCAAGGCGACGAUCCGUAACUGGUCUGAGAGGAUGAUCAGUCACACUGGAACUGGGACACGGUCCAGACUCCUACGGGAGGCAGCAGUGGGGAAUAUUGGACAAUGGGCGAAAGCCUGAUCCAGCCAUGCCGCGUGUGUGAAGAAGGUCUUCGGAUUGUAAAGCACUUUAAGUUGGGAGGAAGGGCAGUAAGUUAAUACCUUGCUGUUUUGACGUUACCAACAGAAUAAGCACCGGCUAACUUCGUG
rnacentral:rRNA from 1 species